GAGAGCCGGAUACGCUGAAAGGUGUAAGUCCGGUUCGGGGGCGAGCAUUUGGAAACCUACCAUAGAAAUAUGACAAGGCGCUGGGUGCUUAGCCUAC
rfam:Bacteroides nordii CL02T12C05 genomic scaffold supercont1.1, whole genome shotgun sequence.